rnacentral:rRNA from 1 species
GACAUCCAGAGAACUUAGCAGAGAUGCUUUGGUGCCUUCGGGAACUCUGAGACAGGUGCUGCAUGGCUGUCGUCAGCUCGUGUUGUGAAAUGUUGGGUUAAGUCCCGNAACGAGCGCAACCCUUAUCCUUUGUUGCCAGCGGUUCGGCCGGGAACUCAAAGGAGACUGCCGGUGAUAAACCGGAGGAAGGUGGGGAUGACGUCAAGUCAUCAUGGCCCUUACGGCCAGGGCUACACACGUGCUACAAUGGCGCAUACAAAGAGAAGCGACCUCGCGAGAGCAAGCGGACCUCAUAAAGUGCGUCGUAGUCCGGAUUGGAGUCUGCAACUCGACUCCAUGAAGUCGGAAUCGCUAGUAAUCGUAGAUCAGAAUGCUACGGUCGAAUACGUUCCCGGGCCUUGUACACACCGCCCGUCACACCAUGGGAGUGGGUUGCAAAAGAAGUAGGUAGCUUAACCUUCGGGAGGGCGCUUACCACUUUGUGAUUCAUGACUGGGGUGAAGUCGUAACAAGGUAAGCGUAGCGAG